GAUGAACGCUGGCGGCGUGCCUAAUACAUGCAAGUCGAGCGAACGGACGAGAAGCUUGCUUCUCUGAUGUUAGCGGCGGACGGGUGAGUAACACGUGGAUAACCUACCUAUAAGACUGGGAUAACUUCGGGAAACCGGAGCUAAUACCGGAUGAUAUUUUGAACCGCAUGGUUCAAAAGUGAAAGACGGUCUUGCUGUCACUUAUAGAUGGAUCCGCGCUGCAUUAGCUAGUUGGUAAGGUAACGGCUUACCAAGGCAACGAUGCAUAGCCGACCUGAGAGGGUGAUCGGCCACACUGGAACUGAGACACGGUCCAGACUCCUACGGGAGGCAGCAGUAGGGAAUCUCCCGCAAAGGGCGAAAGCCUGACGGAGCAACGCCGCGUGAGUGAUGAAGGUCUUCGGAUCGUAAAACUCUGUUAUUAGGGAAGAACAUAUGUGUAAGUAACUGUGCACAUCUUGACGGUACCUAAUCAGAAAGCCACGGCUAACUACGUG
rnacentral:rRNA from 1 species